rnacentral:rRNA from 1 species
GAUGAACGCUAGCUACAGGCUUAACACAUGCAAGUCGAGGGAAACGAUAGAGAAAGCUUGCUUUUACUAGGCGUCGACCGGCGCACGGGUGAGUAACGCGUAUCCAACCUGCCCAUCACUUGGGGAUAACCUUGCGAAAGUAAGACUAAUACCCAAUGACGUCUCUAGAAGACAUCUGAAAAGAGAUUAAAGAUUUAUCGGUGAUGGAUGGGGAUGCGUCUGAUUAGCUUGUUGGCGGGGUAACGGCCCACCAAGGCGACGAUCAGUAGGGGUUCUGAGAGGAAAGGUCCCCCACCAUUGGAACUGAGACACGGUCCAAACUCCUACGGGAGGCAGCAGUUGAGGAAUAUUGGUCAAUGGACGAGAGUCUGAACCAGCAAGUAGCGUGCAGGAUGAC